UCGAGUCAUAUGAUAUCUAUUAUAACUUAUAUGCAUGGCCUCUCAUGUACGAAGGUUUCCUUGAGCAUUUUCCAAAGAUUUUAAUUUCUAAAAUAGCUAUUGACUGUACCUUUAUGUAAGUACCAUUGUAAGGUAUCAAUGUGAGGUGCUAUCCAAGUUAAGGGAUGAGAGUCACAGCUGGUAUCCACAGCAUAUGAAUUGUCUACUCAUCCGUUGAUAACGAUGUUCAAUCGGCAAAAAAUGUCUGGAUGUUGCAAAGAAACUCAUUUUCCCCUCAUGUUUGAG
rnacentral:lncRNA from 1 species